AGAGGAGACCAGGCGGCCGCCGGGUUUCACCUCCCGGAGGAAAGUCCGAACACCGCAGGGCAGGGUGCUCCGUAACGCGGAGUCGCGGCAACGCGAAGGCAAGUGCAACAGAAAGUAUACCGCCUGGCAGUCUCGCUUUUGAGCGGGCCUGCCCGGUAAGGGUGAAACGGUGCGGUAAGAGCGCACCAGUUCCCCGGGCGAUCGGGGAAGCUGGGUAAACCCCACCCGGUGCAAGACCAAAUAGGGGAGCUCAUGCAGCGGCCCGCUGUAGGCUCCCGGGUAGGUUGCAAGAGGCGUCGGGCAACCGGCGCCCUUAGAUGAAUGGCCGCCGCCCUGGCCGGGGCGACCCGACCAGGGAACAGAAUUCGGCUUACGGUUUCCUUUGACC
rnacentral:RNase_P_RNA from 23 species